UACGUAGGUGGCAAGCGUUAUCCGGAAUUAUUGGGCGUAAAGCGCGCGCAGGUGGUUUCUUAAGUCUGAUGUGAAAGCCCACGGCUCAACCGCGGAGGGUCAUUGGAAACUGGGAGACUUGAGUGCAGAAGAGGAAAGUGGAAUUCCAUGUGUAGCGGUGAAAUGCGUAGAGAUAUGGAGGAACACCAGUGGCGAAGGCGACUUUCUGGUCUGUAACUGACACUGAGGCGCGAAAGCGUGGGGAGCAAACAGG
rnacentral:rRNA from 1 species